AGUGAACGCUGGCGGUAGGCCUAACACAUGCAAGUCGAACGGCAGCACAGUGGAGCUUGCUCCUUGGGUGGCGAGUGGCGGACGGGUGAGGAAUACAUCGGAAUCUACUCUGUCGUGGGGGAUAACGUAGGGAAACUUACGCUAAUACCGCAUACGACCUACGGGUGAGAGCAGGGUAUCUUCGGACCUUGCGCGAUUGAAUGAGCCGAUGUCGGAUUAGCUAGUUGGCGGGGUAAAGGCCCACCAAGGCGACGAUCCGUAGCUGGUCUGAGAGGAUGAUCAGCCACACUGGAACUGAGACACGGUCCAGACUCCUACGGGAGGCAGCAGUGGGGAAUAUUGGACAAUGGGCGCAAGCCUGAUCCAGCCAUACCGCGUGGGUGAAGAAGGCCUUCGGGUUGUAAAGCCCUUUUGUUGGGAAAGAAAUCCAGCUGGCUAAUACCCGGUUGG
rnacentral:rRNA from 1 species